rnacentral:rRNA from 1 species
UAAGCGGAGGAAAAGAAACUAACAAGGAUUCCCCUAGUAACGGCGAGCGAACAGGGAAGAGCUCAAAUUUGAAAUCUGGCGUCCUCCGGGCGUCCGAGUUGUAAUCUAUAGAGACGUUUUCCGUGCCGGACCGUGUCCAAGUUCCUUGGAACAGGAUAUCAAAGAGGGUGACAAUCCCGUACUUGACACGACGACCGGUGCUCUGUGAUACGUUUUCUACGAGUCGAGUUGUUUGGGAAUGCAGCUCAAAAUGGGUGGUGAGUUCCAUCUAAAGCUAAAUAUUGGCGAGAGACCGAUAGCGAACAAGUACCGUGAGGGAAAGAUGAAAAGCACUUUGGAAAGAGAGUUAAACAGUACGUGAAAUUGUUAAAAGGGAAACGAUUGAAGUCAGUCGUGUCUGGGAGGCUCAGCCGGUUCUGCCGGUGUAUUCCUCUCAGACGGGUCAACAUCAGUUUUGUCCGACGGAUAAUGGCGGCGGGAAAGUAGCACCUCCGGGUGUGUUAUAGCCCGCUGUCGCAUACGCCGGAUGAGACUGAGGCAUGCAGCUCGCCUUUAUGGCAGGGGUUCGCCCACUUUCGAGCUUAGGAUGUUGACGUAAUGGCUUUAAACGACCCGUCUUGAAACACG